rnacentral:lncRNA from 1 species
CUCUCGUGCCGCCGCUGACGUCAUUGUGGGAGUGUUUCAACGGGCGGAAUGAACGGUCAUCGGCGGCACGGCGCUCUCGCGGCUCAUCAUGUGAUAUUCCUCAGCUUAGCAGGCCAUAGCUAGCUGACUGGAGAGCCAAGACACCCACCACCCUCGCCUCACCCUGGAUCGAAUGCCAGUCAUCGUCUAUGACCUGAAGGGAUUAUUUUGGAUUACCCUUUGGAUUAACUCACAUCAUCUUUCUAUGUAGAGACGACAGAGCAGGCACACUGAUGAAUGGACAGAGCCAUUCCUGAACUGAGAGCCAGAGGAGGCCAGGCUGGACUGAUGGUAAGCAGCACAUCUCUCUUAUCUCUGUCUCUAUGUCUUCCUCCUCUUUCUGUCUCUCUCUCUCUCAUCCUCUCCUCUUCUACCUCUUUUCUCUUAUCUGUGUUGCACAGAGCUCAUUCUGUCUCCCUGUGGUUGUUUGUUUAUUACCAGCUCUUUCUAAGAAACCCUGUUCGUAGCUGUUCUGUGUGGGUAGAUAUGUUUUCUCUCGAGUCUCGAGUUCUCCGAAGAGGAUGUUCAGCCUUGUUUUACAGGACCUAACGACAAAGUAACCUAACACUCUCUCACCUCUCUCGCCUCUGAAAAUGUGUGUUCGGUUAAGUGUUGCGUUGUUUUGCACUUGACGGAUAAGAGCGGGGCCCAGCUGGUACCAGAGUCGCUGUCUCUCCGUAUCUUCAGCGAGAGAUUGCCGUUAAGUGUUGGGCACCCUGCCCUCAGUUCCCUUACUUUGCUUCACUUUUUCAGUUUAUGCUUUACUCAACCCACAUGACUCUCAGACACCCAACACACUGCUUUAUCACCCUAUCUUGUGUUUAUGCUUUUUCUUCAUCCUUAAGGUUAUUUAACAGUAGUUUCACAUUGAAUUUCUGCAAUGAAGGUCAAAGGUCUCUCCUGUCUCCUGAGUUGUUCUUUGAAAGCUGAUGUUAAGACUUAUGAUUAUUGUAAUUACAGUGGAACCCAAAGUUCUAAGACCACUAGUCUUCUAGUGUAAUAUCAGCUUGUUUGUGCAAAAAAAGUUUCUAGGCCUGGAUUCACAAAAGUCUUUAGGAAUUAAAGGAUUUAAAAAUAAAUAUUUAUUGAAUAAAUAUUAUUUAUUUAUA